GUAAUUACGAUCUUAGCCCCUGGCGGUCCGACCAUGUUUUUUUCGUCCUUUCGAGGACAAUUGCGGCAAUUGCAGCUCAGCUCUCGCGCUUGCCCCUUCAUUUCUUUUCCCUCCUCCUUCGUAUGGAUCAGGCAACCGCAGAUGCGACAGUGAGUGCAGGAGCGAGGCAAAGGAGCGGCGGCAUCGGCGGGUAUGGAGGAUUGAAGACCCGCGCAUCAUCGUCGCACUCCAUGGCCGUCGAUGAUCCAGACUUCAGAAUGGACGACGACGAAUGUCCUGCUCCUGAUGGGUCAUUCUGAACACGUUUCACAGCCACACGCUUGCGCCCCAUAGAGGAUCAUGAGCCAUACAAAAAGAAGGACGUUAUAUGCAAACACAUCUUUGGUUCCCUCUUGAAUAUCAACUCUUUUUUCUGAACCCAUCGAUCUGCUGGAUUGGGUACUCAUGAAAAUUGAUCCAGACAACACGUUCUUUAGGUUUGCAAUUUCAAACAAAUUCCUCUUGAAUAUCAUGUUUUUCGCACCUUUUGUUGCAAUAGGUUUUGUUUCUUAUAUGCUCGUAUUUUUUAUCUACUUGUUGUAGUCACAGAUAGAAGUCCGUAUUGUUUACAAAAGACAUGGUGUGAGUAAUUUUCAAUGUACCUUCUGGGUCAAGGCUAGUUGAAUAGUUGAGGAGGAACGAGCCACACGUGUUGCGUGAAACCUAUCGAGUAGGGUCGAGGGCCCCAACAAGGCGCACUAUCGAAGUGCUUGAAGGUGCAGAUGUUCUUGAUCUUGUUACUAUAAACAGGACCCGGAUACUGCUAUGUAUUGCUCUCAUGCUUUCUCCUGGUACUGGCAACAUGGUUCCUCUAGAUGAUCUUGCGAGUUUGGUUGAAAUGCACAGGAUCAAUGAGUUUUCCUGGGAUGAGCAUUUUUUGGCUAUUGUGUUGAAUGAGCUCAAGAAGUAUCAAAAGAAGAGGAAUGAAGGGAAAACUGUCUUAUGGUUCGGCGAUUGUCUACCAAUGUUUGUUGUAUGGCCAAUGAGCUUGCUUUUUUUUCUCUAUUAUCUUUCAUUUCUUUCGUUGUAGUAUUCGUCUAUGACAGGUUGGCUCAUAAUGUUAUUUUUAUUUCUGUUUAGAUAAUUUACAUGGACUUCGUUGAGAUGCCUCGUUUGCUGGCUUCUAGCCAUAGAAUUGAGUACUCUCUCCCAAGGGCUUGCUUCGUUUGCAAUGGCGACUUUAAAUUGAUAGAAGAAAUUGAUAGAAAUAUGCUAAGCCUUCAUAAGAUUGAAUUUGGAAAACGGAAUUUUGGCGGAGAUGGUGUACAUACGGCUAGAGGGCUGCAAUGAAAUUUGACAAAAGAACAACAAUUUUAUUGCGGCAGAUGCACACAUCCCUAAUAUACCAAGCAACCCAGCCUUGAUGGAUGCGAGGUUGUCGGUGAUAUUUGUGUCUCUCUAGAUGAGUGGCUGCAUCCACUACCUUCAAGUCAAGAAUUGGAGAAAAGCACACUUGUUCAUGAGCUUUUCAUCAUUUAUUUUCAGCAAAUAGUAGUUGCGAUGCUUUUUUUUAUUCUUUUUGUUGUGUGUGUCUGCUGUCUUUGUUGAGGGCAAACUUAAAUCUUUCUCUGAUUCAUUUGUUUUUCCUCGAAGCUGAUCCCAAGGCACAUGAUACCAAUAUAUGAUAAGCAGAAGAAGCUGCAGGAAACAAAAGUUAAGAAGGUUUUGAAGUUGUUUGGUCAGGUUCUCUAGUCAAUGUUCUGAAAGCGUGUGGCAUCUAUUUUGGUCGAAGCUAACGCCACUGCAACAAGCACCAAUUAUCAUAUCCCUAAAGAUGUUACAUUUCAUGCUCCAGCCGGCAAUGCAGCAGGUUCCCAAUCCACACUAACACUAAAGCUCACAUAAGUCGUGCAGCACAGGAAGUGGAGGCUGACAGGGAAGUUGCAGGUUGUUCAAACACCAACCAGAAUGAAGCAGAGUGGGACAUUGGUUUGGAUAAAAUGCAGAGUUGCAGUUAUCAAGGGAUGGAAGAUGUGCAACAAGGACCUGAUAUUGGAGAAUGGGAGAAGUUGGUACUUUCUGAAGUUAUGGUGGGAGAUUUGAAAGAUCCAGAUGUUGCCGACGAGGGUCAGAGUUUGAUUCUGUCAUAGGGCAUGAUGGCUGUAUUGCAAGGACUUGCCAUGGAACUCGAUGAUGGUCCAUCAAUGAGUCUAUUCAAAGAGGGAACUGAAGAUUUUGAAUGGUUCAAUAUGGAUGCUCAAACGGUAAGGAAGCAUAAGGAAGCAAAUAAGUGUAUGGGAACUCCCAAUCAUGUCGGUGCUCCCUCUCAUGUGGAACAACCGGUUUCAGCAGGACGUACAUAUGAAAACACCCCAAAGCGUGCAAUGCAGGGUAACAACUCGAAGCUUCCAGCGCAAAAGGAAGCAGAUGGUCCUUUCUUUGAGACUGAACCAAAGCUUCAUAGACCCACUGACAUACCGAGACCUCUACUUGAAUCAUCCUUAAUUGCAUAUGUAGAUCCACUUGUAUCUCCAGUCCUUGUGCCAUUGCAACAAGGUCAAACACAUGCAGAGUUGCAUGAUGGCCUUGUGAAUAUUGUCAAUGAUAGUAGCACGCAAAGCAUCCAUGUGAAGAAGGGAGUAAAGAAAAGAAUGGCCCAUCCCCUGGACGGUGCUCAAGAGAUGAAGAAGAUCAAGAUCGACUCAAAAGACGAUGAAUUGUACCAGCAGUACGUUUUGAGUAGGUACAAGACACCAAAAAGAAAUAAAUACAAACAAAUGUGAUUCUCCUUUA